rnacentral:rRNA from 1 species
GCCAUACCAUGCUGAAUAUACCGUUUCUCGUUAGAUCACCGAAGUCAAGCAUCAUUGGGCGCGGUCAGUACUUGGGUGGGUGACCACCUGAGAACACCGCGUGCCGUU